ACGGGAGGCAGCAGUGGGGAAUAUUGCACAAUGGGGGAAACCCUGAUGCAGCGACGCCGCGUGGGUGAAGAAGUUUUUCGGAAUGUAAAGCCCUAUCAGCAGGGAAGAUAAUGACGGUACCUGACUAAGAAGCCCCGGCUAACUACGUGCCAGCAGCCGCGGUAAUACGUAGGGGGCAAGCGUUAUCCGGAUUUACUGGGUGUAAAGGGAGCGUAGACGGAAUAGCAAGUCUGAAGUGAAAUGUAGGGGCUCAACCCCUGAACUGCUUUGGAAACUGUUGAUCUUGAGUGCCGGAGGGGCAGGCGGAAUUCCUGGUGUAGCGGUGAAAUGCGUAGAUAUCAGGAAGAACACCGGUGGCGAAGGCGGCCUGCUGGACGGUAACUGACGUUGAGGCUCGAAAGCGUGGGGAGCAAACAGGAUUAGAUACCCUGGUA
rnacentral:rRNA from 1 species